rnacentral:misc_RNA from 1 species
GGCGUGGAGACGAAAAACGUGAAGAUGUCUAUGAACCCCUUCUGCGAGAUCGCCCUCGAGGAGGCCCUCCGCAUCCGGGAGUCCGGCGGCGCCGCCGAGGUGGUCGCCGUCUCCGUGGGCCCAGCACAGUGCGCGGAUACGCUUCGAACUGCGCUUGCGAUGGGAGCGGAUCGGGCGGUUCAUGUUGAUGUGGGGGCUGCGAUGGUGUACCCGCUGACGGUGGCUAAGAUUUUU